rnacentral:rRNA from 1 species
GACGAACGCUGGCGGCGUGCUUAACACAUGCAAGUCGAACGAAGUGGCGAACGGGUGAGUAAUGCGUAAUCAACCUGCCCUUCAGAGGGGGACAACAGUGGGAAACGACUGUUAAUACCGCUUACUGAAGGAGGGGUUUGCGUCUGAUUAGCUAGUUGGAGGGGUAAUGGCCCACCAAAGUGAUGUUCCGUCGGGGGUCUUAGAGGAUGAACGGCCACAUUGGGACUGGGGCACAGCCCAGACUCCUGCGGGUGGCAGCAGUGGGGAAUCUUCCGCAAUGGAGGAAAGUCUGACGGAGCAACGCCGGGGGAGUGAUGACGGCCUUCGGGUUGUAAAACUCUGUUAAUCGGGAGACGGUACCGGAAGAAAAAGCCACGGCUAACUACGUGCCAGCCGCCGCGGUAAUUC